rnacentral:rRNA from 1 species
GACGAACGCUGGCGGCGUGCUUAACACAUGCAAGUCGAACGGAAAGGCCCUGCUUUUGUGGGGUGCUCGAGUGGCGAACGGGUGAGUAACACGUGAGUAACCUGCCCUUGACUUUGGGAUAACUUCAGGAAACUGGGGCUAAUACCGGAUAGGAGCUCCUGCUGCAUGGUGGGGGUUGGAAAGUUUCGGCGGUUGGGGAUGGACUCGCGGCUUAUCAGCUUGUUGGUGGGGUAGUGGCUUACCAAGGCUUUGACGGGUAGCCGGCCUGAGAGGGUGACCGGCCACAUUGGGACUGAGAUACGGCCCAGACUCCUACGGGAGGCAGCAGUGGGGAAUAUUGCACAAUGGGCGGAAGCCUGAUGCAGCAACGCCGCGUGCGGGAUGACGGCCUUCGGGUUGUAAACCGCUUUCGCCUGUGACGAAGCGUGAGUGACGGUAAUGGGUAAAGAAGCACCGGCUAACUACGUGCCAGCAGCCGCGGUGAUACGUAGGGUGCGAGCGUUGUCCGGAUUUAUUGGGCGUAAAGGGCUCGUAGGUGGUUGAUCGCGUCGGAAGUGUAAUCUUGGGGCUUAACCCUGAGCGUGCUUUCGAUACGGGUUGACUUGAGGAAGGUAGGGGAGAAUGGAAUUCCUGGUGGAGCGGUGGAAUGCGCAGAUAUCAGGAGGAACACCAGUGGCGAAGGCGGUUCUCUGGGCCUUCCCUGACGCUGAGGAGCGAAAGCGUGGGGAGCGAACAGGCUUAGAUACCCUGGUAGUCCACGCUGUAAACGGUGGGUACUAGGUGUGGGGUCCAUUCCACGGGUUCCGUGCCGUAGCUAACGCUUUAAGUACCCCGCCUGGGGAGUACGGCCGCAAGGCUAAAACUCAAAGGAAUUGACGGGGCCCCGCACAAGCGGCGGAGCAUGCGGAUUAAUUCGAUGCAACGCGUAGAACCUUACCUGGGUUUGACAUGGAUCGGGAGCGCUCAGAGAUGGGUGUGCCUCUUUUGGGGUCGGUUCACAGGUGGUGCAUGGCUGUCGUCAGCUCGUGUCGUGAGAUGUUGGGUUAAGUCCCGCAACGAGCGCAACCCUUGUUCACUGUUGCCAGCACGUUAUGGUGGGGACUCAGUGGAGACCGCCGGGGUCAACUCGGAGGAAGGUGGGGAUGACGUCAAGUCAUCAUGCCCCUUAUGUCCAGGGCUUCACGCAUGCUACAAUGGCUGGUACAGAGAGUGGCGAGCCUGUGAGGGUGAGCGAAUCUCGGAAAGCCGGUCUCAGUUCGGAUUGGGGUCUGCAACUCGACCUCAUGAAGUCGGAGUCGCUAGUAAUCGCAGAUCAGCAACGCUGCGGUGAAAACGUUCCCGGG